GGUUGAUCCUGCCAGUAGUCAUAUGCUCGUCUCAAAGAUUAAGCCAUGCAUGUGUAAGUAUAAGCAUUUAUACUGUGAAACUGCGAACGGCUCAUUAAAUCAGUUAUCGUUUAUUUGAUAUUUCCUUACUACAUGGAUAACCGUAGUAAUUCUAGAGCUAAUACAUGCGCAAAAUUUCGAUCCGCAAGGAGAGAAAUGUAUUUAUUAGAUAAAAAACCAAUCCGUGUUCUGCACGGUUUUUUGGUGAUUCAUAAUAACUGUUUCGAAUCGUAUGGCCUUGUGCCGACGAUGU
rnacentral:rRNA from 1 species